rnacentral:miRNA from 3 species
UGCUAAGUAGUACUGCCGCAGGGA